rnacentral:rRNA from 1 species
UUCGCAAUGCCCGAAAGGGUGACGAAGCGACGCCGCGUGUGGGAAGAAGGCCUUCGGGUUGUAAGCCACUGUCGGGAGUUAAGAAAUGUGAGGAUGCUAAUAGUAUUCUUACUUGACUAAGGCUCCGGAGGAAGCCACGGCUAACUCUGUGCCAGCAGCCGCGGUAAUACAGAGGCGGCAAGCGUUGUUCGGAAUUAUUGGGCGUAAAGAGCACGUAGGCGGCUGUGUAAGUCGGUUGUGAAAGCCUUCCGCUUAACGGAAGAACAGCGACCGAUACUGCAUAGCUAGAGUGCGGGAGGGGAGAGUGGAACUUCUGGUGGAGCGGUGAAAUGCGUAGAUAUCAGAAGGAACGCCGGCGGCGAAAGCGGCUCUCUGGACCGUAACUGACGCUGAGUGUGCGAAAGCUAGGGGAGCAAACGGGAUUAGAUACCCCGGUAGUCCUAGCCGUAAACGAUGGGCACUAAGUAGAGGGGUUUU